UACGUAGGGUGCGAGCGUUAAUCGGAAUUACUGGGCGUAAAGCGUGCGCAGGCGGUUCGUUGUGUCGGCGGUGAAAGCCCCGGGCUUAACCUGGGAAUGGCCGUUGAAACUGGCGAACUGGAGUGUGGCAGAGGGGGGUGGAAUUCCGCGUGUAGCAGUGAAAUGCGUAGAGAUGCGGAGGAACACCGAUGGCGAAGGCAGCCCCCUGGGAUAACACUGACGCUCAUGCACGAAAGCGUGGGGAGCAAACAGG
rnacentral:rRNA from 1 species